rnacentral:rRNA from 1 species
GCUAACUGUUUGAAGAACAAGACCAACCGUUCUAAAGUGAAAUUCCAACAGACAACGGGAUCUCGUAGCUAUAUUGCACACUGCGAGGCUCUUAGGAAAGACCAUGCAGACCAAAAAGAACCUGAACCAAAUGCAGUGCAAAUCUUCAAGGAUUGCCACACCAGCAAGAUCAAGGGCAUGAGCACACCGGUUCAAGACGCUGUUGAAGCUAUGGAACAAAUGAUUGGACAACCACAACCACCUAAAGGUGACGAGGCUACCACAGGCACAAUGUCACCUCUUGCUACAGUGCGUCAGUAUCUC